GCUCAGGACCCGUGAACCCACUUUGCACGUGGGCCGGGCACGCCACUUUUCCCAGUCAGGGACCUAGGCCCCAGCGCGCGCCCCCGAGGGCCCCGCGGAAAUGCCCUGGCCCACCCGCCGGAAGUGACGUAACGCCACGUCCUAGCAACCGUUGCCAAGGAGCUCGUCUCUAGGAACCCACUAGAGCCUGGAUGCCUCCUGCGGGGGGGAAAAAAGUGGUUUCUUGACGAGAAUUUGAGUUAUAAGACCUAAUUAUGAGCGAUCAAAUCAAAUUCAUUGUGGACAAUCUCAAUAAGGAGCCUUUUAGGAAGAACUAUAAUUUAAUAACAUUUGAUUCCCUGGAGCCAAUGCAACUAUUGCAAAUUCUCAAUGAUGUUCUGGCUGAGAUUGACCCAAAGCAAGUUGUGGAUAUCAGAGAGGAGAUGCCAGAGCAUACAGCCAAAAGGAUGUUGAGCCUUCUUGGUAUCCUUAAAUACAAACCUCCAGGAAAUGCUACAGACAUGAGUACCUUUCGUCAGGGUCUGGUGAUUGGAAGUAAACCUGUAAUUUACCCAGUGCUCCACUGGCUUCUUCAGAGGACUAAUGAACUGAAGAAAAGAGCAUAUUUAGCUCGUUUUUUAAUAAAACUUGAGGUACCAAGUGAGUUUCUUCAGGACGAAACAGUGGCUGAUACCAAUAAACAGUAUGAAGAGCUGAUGGAAGCCUUUAAAACUUUGCAUAAAGAAUGUGAGCAACUCAAGACAUCUGGAUUUUCUACAGCAGAAAUAAGAAGGGAUAUCAGUGCAAUGGAGGAUGAAAAGGAUCAGCUCAUUAAGAGAGUUGAACGUUUGAAGAAAAGGGUGGAGACAGUUCAGAAUCAUCAACGGAUGCUUAAAAUAGCAAGGCAACUUCGAGUUGAAAAAGAGAGAGAAGAAUUUCUUGCACAACAGAAACAGGAACAAAAGAAUCAGCUAUUUCAUGCGGUGCAGAGACUGCAAAGAGUACAAAAUCAGCUGAAAAGUAUGCGCCACGCAGCAGCAGAUGCAAAGCCUGAAAGUUUAAUGAAGAGACUAGAGGAAGAGAUAAAGUUUAAUUCUUAUAUGGUAACUGAAAAAUUUCCUAAAGAAUUAGAGAGCAAGAAAAAAGAAUUGCAUUUUCUACAAAAAGUGGUUUCAGAGCCUGCCAUGGGCCAUUCUGAUCUUCUUGAACUAGAAUCUAACAUAAAUGAAAUAAACACACAGAUAAAUCAGCUGAUUGAAAAGAAAAUGAUGAGAAAUGAGCCAAUUGAAGGCAAACUCUCACUAUACAGGCAACAGGCAUCCAUCAUUUCUCGUAAAAAAGAAGCCAAAGCUGAGGAACUUCAGGAAGCGAAGGAGAAGUUAGCCAGCCUAGAGAGAGAGGUAUCAGUGAAGACAAAUCAGACCCGCGAAUUUGAUGGUACUGAAGUUUUGAAGGGAGAUGAGUUCAAACGAUAUGUCAGUAAACUUCGAAGCAAGAGUACAGUUUUCAAAAAGAAGCAUCAAAUAAUAGCUGAAUUUAAAGCUGAAUUCGGCCUCUUGCAGAGGACAGAAGAACUUCUUAAACAACGGCAUGAAAAUAUUCAACAUCAACUGCGAACUAUUGAAGAGAAAAAGGGCAUAUCUGGAUAUAGUUACACUCAGGAAGAGCUGGAAAGGGUGUCCGCACUGAAGAGUGAAGUAGACGAAAUGAAAGGCCGAACGCUAGAUGACAUGUCUGAAAUGGUAAAAAAACUGAAUUCACUGGUGUCUGAAAAGAAGUCAGCUCUAGCCCCAGUUAUAAAAGAACUACGACAGUUGCGUCAGAAAUGUCAAGAACUAACCCAGGAGUGUGAUGAAAAGAAAUCCCAGUAUGAUAGCUGUGCAGCAGGCCUCGAAAGCAAUCGGUCCAAAUUAGAACAGGAAGUCAGAGGACUCCGUGAAGAAUGUCUUCAGGAAGAAAGUAGAUACCAUUACACAAAUUGUAUGAUUAAGAACCUAGAAGUACAACUUCGUCGUGCUACUGAUGAGAUGAAGGCUUAUGUUUCUUCUGAUCAACAAGAAAAAAGAAAGGCAAUUAGGGAGCAGUAUACAAAAAAUAUUGCUGAACAGGAAAACCUUGGAAAGAAACUCCGAGAAAAACAAAAAGCUGUACGAGAAAGUCAUGGUCCAAAUAUGAAACAAGCGAAAAUGUGGCGUGAUUUUGAACAAUUGAUGGAAUGUAAGAAACAGUGCUUUCUGAAACAACAAAGCCAAACUUCCAUUGGUCAGAAACUCCUCCAACUGCACAAAACUUCUGAACUGUGCUUUUUAAAGAUAUGAAAAAGGAAAAUAUGAUGAUACCUACAAAAUACUCCCAAGACCUGUAGUUCUCAAAGAAGAUUUUAGUGAUGGAAAAGUCUCAGAGAAAAGGUCUAGAAGCCAGAUCCCAGGGCCAGGAAUGUUUCUGUCUAGUCCCUAAGAUGCAUCUUUUCCUGUUACCAAAAGGUCUGAGACACCCAGUUGGUAAUCAGAAGCUCUUACAGGGAGCCUGGAAAGUAGCUGCAGACUCUUACGGCAUUUUUACUUCCAAGUAUAAGUCUUAUGAGCCUAAAAAUCAAGGUGUCAUCAAGGCUCUGUUCCUUCUGGAGGCUCCAGGGGAGAAUCCAACUUGGUGCCUGGCUUCUGAGGCCACCACGCUCCUUGGCUCGCGGCCCCUUCUCUGCCUUCCAGGCAAGCCAUUCCAGCCUCUGUCACACUUCUCUCUAGCUGACCCUCCUGCCUACUUGCCCCAAGGGCCCUUGUGAUUAAGUUGGGCCCCACCCUCUCCUUUCCUGGGUUUCUUGGGACCUCAGGGCUGGGUAGGAGCCAGUGGGGGAGUACACUGAUUAGAGCCUUUGGAACUUUCCUCAAGACAGGAGGCAGUUGGACAUUACAAGCCUAUUGAGCCCCCUCCCUGCCAUGGUCUCCAUUGAUGACCAUGGAAAGAACUAAGAGUCGGGGAGUAAAAAGAAGAGGGACCCCACGUGUCUGGAAGAAACUGGAUGAAGAAGGCUGAAAGCAGUCAAAGGGGUUGACACCACUUAAACGCGGCCUGGUCAACAACAUCCUCAUUCACCCGGAUUUUGGAAUCACUUCACCAGAGCACGACCUCAGGAGGCUGGAUCUUAAGAGGAGCCUAAGAUAAAGGUGUGUGUCUGUCCACCAGCUCUACCAAGUGCUAUGCUACACACUUCACUUGAGGAAAGCUGCCUGAGGUGGUAUUUUGGAAGACCUGUGAUAACUCUGAAUCAUGAAACUGGAGGAACAGAACAAAUCACAAGUUAAAACAUACCUAACAUCUGCCAGAAAGUACCCGCUGAGAGCAUCAUUAGCCUGAAGUCUGGAUCUAAUGCACUAAGCCCUUCCCUUCCCUCUUAACCCCAAUCUCUUUAAUUGACAUUUAGUUGCCUGCGGUCAGAUCUCUUUCAAUCCCAGUGUCUACAGGCUCCUGAUCUUGGGCGACUGGGACAGCUAGACCUAUCUUUUCUUAGGCCCACUCUUGCUUUAUUUCCCUUUUUUUGGUGUGUGCAUACUGCUUUAAUUGGGCAAUCAUUAUGCCAUACUCCCAUUAACGUCGGUGGGGAAGUGAGUAAUCAAACUCUCAAUUGUAAGCUUCGGUAAGAUAAGGUCAGCAAGACGUGUGGUCCUGAGAUGGCACCCCGCACCCGCAAGGGAAAAUGACUCUCGGUGGCUCUCACUGUUUUGGGGCUUGUUUGCGUUGCUGUGCACUUGUAAUGGAAAACGAAUAAAAAUAAAAAUCCCGGGGCCCAUUUUGGCGCGCGCUUGGGAAGUUAAUCCCACUGUCCUGGCAGAAUUCCAGCUCAGGUCACUGCAUUCUGCUGGCGGAAGCCGCCUCAUGCGGUUUUCAGUGGAUGUCACUUUCUUCUUUGCAUCCUUCUCAGGGCUCCGUGUGCAGCGCAUUCAACAGCUGGCCCUUCCCCACCUGCAGGAGCUACAGUUCUGCAGAACUCAGAAUGACCCCUGCCUCUUCCCCGGGCAGGAAAUUAACCUGCUCCAAGGACCAGCCACUGAGAUAUUUGCUACAGUCAAGAUCUAUAUGAAUGUGUCUUUCUCUGAGUGCCUUUAAGCAGCCACAGAAUCAGAUUACUCUCCUUAAAAGAUUUUUCAAGGAAUCACACAGUUUCUUACAAGUCUCUAAUGCAUAUAUUCCCUCCAUUUGUUUUGUAACGUUUUGUUAUGCAAACUAAAAAUGUCUCCUUAUCUGAAGUACUUAGAAAUUUAUCUCCCUUCCACCCAUAUAUGCUUAUUGUUGCUGCUUUUGUUUUCACAGAUUUUUUUUCUAGUGUGUAACUCUUUCCCCUAUGAAAUGUAUUGCAUUUUAUGGUGCGAGGAAUGGUUCUAACUAGUUGUUCCCCCAUACAAAUAAUCUUCUGUUCUUAACAAUGUUUACUGAAUGGCAGUUUCCAAUUGUGUGUCUUCCGCACAUGACUUAAACCUGUCUGACCAUCAGCUUUCAGGAUCUGGGGAGCUAGGAAUGACACCUACCUGACAGGCUUAUCCCAAGGAUGGAGUAAGCCAGCACGUGAAAAGGUCCUAGCACGUUGCAUGCAUGGCAGAUAUGUGUUUAAUAAAUGAUGUCUUCCUUUUA